rnacentral:rRNA from 1 species
CCUACGGGAGGCAGCAGUGGGGAAUAUUGGGCAAUGGGCGCAAGCCUGACCCAGCAACGCCGCGUGAAGGAAGAAGGCCCUCGGGUUUUAAACUUCUUUUAUUCGGGACGAAACAAAUGACGUUACCGAAUGAAUAAGCCUCAGCUAACUACGUGCCAGAAGCCGCGGUAAUACGGAGGUGGCAAUCAUUAUCAGGAUUUACUGGUUGUAAAGGGCGUGUAGGCGGGAGAGCAAGUCAGACGUGAAAUUCCAGGGCUCAACCCUGAAACUGCGUUUGACACUGUUCUUCUUGAGUGAUGGAGAGGCAGGCGGAAUUCGGUGUGUAGCGGUGAAAGGCGUAGAUAUACGGAGGAACACCAGUGGCGAAGGCGGCCUGCUGGACAUUAACUGACGCUGAGGCGCGAAAGCGUGGGGAGCAAACAGGAUUAGAUACCCCAGUAGUC